UGGGGAAUUUUGGACAAUGGGCGAAAGCCUGAUCCAGCAAUGCCGCGUGUGUGAAGAAGGCCUUCGGGUUGUAAAGCACUUUUGUUCGGAAAGAAAUCCUUGGCUCUAAUACAGUCGGGGGAUGACGGUACCGGAAGAAUAAGCACCGGCUAACUACGUGCCAGCAGCCGCGGUAAUACGUAGGGUGCAAGCGUUAAUCGGAAUUACUGGGCGUAAAGCGUGCGCAGGCGGUUUGCUAAGACCGAUGUGAAAUCCCCGGGCUCAACCUGGGAACUGCAUUGGUGACUGGCAGGCUAGAGUAUGGCAGAGGGGGGUAGAAUUCCACGUGUAGCAGUGAAAUGCGUAGAGAUGUGGAGGAAUACCGAUGGCGAAGGCAGCCCCCUGGGCCAAUACUGACGCUCAUGCACGAAAGCGUGGGGAGCAAACAGGAUUAGAUACCCUGGUAGUCCACGCCCUAAACGAUGUCAACUAGUUGUUGGGGAUUCAUUUCCUUAGUAACGUAGCUAACGCGUGAAGUUGACCGCCUGGGGAGUACGGUCGCAAGAUUAAAACUCAAAGGAAUUGACGGGGUCAUAGCUGUUUCC
rnacentral:rRNA from 1 species